rnacentral:rRNA from 1 species
AGCGAACGCUGGCGGCAGGCUUAACACAUGCAAGUCGAGCGGGCGUAGCAAUACGUCAGCGGCAGACGGGUGAGUAACGCGUGGGAACAUACCUUUUGGUUCGGAACAACACAGGGAAACUUGUGCUAAUACCGGAUAAGCCCUUACGGGGAAAGAUUUAUCGCCGAAAGAUUGGCCCGCGUCUGAUUAGCUAGUUGGUGAGGUAACGGCUCACCAAGGCGACGAUCAGUAGCUGGCUGAGAGGAUGAUCAGCCACAUUGGGACUGAGACACGGCCCAAACUCCUACGGGAGGCAGCAGUGGGGAAUAUUGGACAAUGGGCGCAAGCCUGAUCCAGCCAUGCCGCGUGAGUGAUGAAGGCCCUAGGGUUGUAAAGCUCUUUUGUGCGGGAAGAUAAUGACGGUACCGCAAAGAAUAA